UGUCCGUCUAGUCCGUCCGCUGCCGCCAGUAAAUCCACGAAAUCCACCGCACUAUCAUUCAAAUUCUAAAACUUGCUGCUAUAAACUCCCGAUUCAGAAAGUUCAAAUAUUAAGUUCUCUGAACAGAUCUGAAAAUGUGAACCACCCUAUAAACGCCAAUCCGAAUGCAGCUCCGAUAUUCUAGUUUAUUCUAGCACGAAGCGGGUUUCAUUCAAUCCUGGAGUCAGAUUUUAGAGUGUGUGUUACUGUUAACAAUAAGAAUGGCGACUUUUUCUAGGAUACAGACUUCGAAUUUUUGUGGUAGUAUGGUUUCUCUGAACUUGGAAGACUCUUAUAAUCCUAUGUAUUUCGUUGAGGUUUUUUGUCAACAACGACGACGACGAACGACGAAUUGAGCAAAUCUUUUAUUCGUUCAAUUUAUCCUAAAUUAUAAAUUUUCAUAAUGGGACUUGAUAACUCGGAUACUUGCACGGAAGCAGACCGUCCAAAAAUAGACCGCCAUAGACGUUUAUCGGACCAAACGAAGUCAAUAAAUAGUGAACAUGUUUCGUCAACUAAAAGUACCGAAGAAGUCCAUCAACCCAAUCAACCUAGUCAACUUAUCUCACAACCAACUCAACUUAGUCAGCCUCUCCCCCAACCCACUCAACCUAGUCAGACCCUUACUCCAGCCCAGAGCCAGGAUGAGAACAAGAGGAUGCUCUACUCCAAGUACAGGUUCAAGCAGGGAUCCAAGCUGUUACAAUAUAUAAUGGAGCAUACAACCAGACAUCAGGAAUUAUAUACACUUGCUGAGAUCCUGCUCGAGCUCAAAGAACUGAUCAAGUCAAGACGAAUGUUUGAUGAAUGGAAUCCCUCUGUUAUAAUGUGCUGCCCUCUUCUGGAGGAGGCCCUCAACAUGAAGGCGCUCCACGUCACAGAGAUCAGGGAGCUGAUAAUGCGUCAGCUGAUUCUAGUCGAAGAAAGAUCUGAUCCGGGAGAAAAUGGCGCCGUUUUCCCUCCGGUCCAGGUUCCCACUCCCCCACCUACCAUGGAAGUUCGAGUCCCAAACACAAAGCAUCGAAGUCGAUUAACAAUGACUGAUCCUCGAUCUAAAACAGUUACUCAACAACCCCCUCCUCCCUCCAGACAAGUUGAGAUUGUGCCCCCUCCUAAUGCCCGACCUCAACCCAGUCCUGAAGUUUGGGAAGAUUCUACAUCAAGGUUUUGGCUGAAAGAAAAAUUUUACUCUGUUCUGAAAACUUUGGAAGAUUUUGAUGAAACCAAAAAAUCCUUCACAUAUUCUGAGGUAACUGCGUAUGUCUCGAAGUAUAUUUUAAGCCGGAAAUCUCAACUGUUUGAUGCUCGAAACAUAAAGCUAGCCAUCGUUCAAAAUGAUCCUCUCGGAGAAGCAUUUAAAGUUCACGCUUUCCAUCGAACUCAAGUCACAACUCUGAUACGUAGUCAGCUGACUUAUGUUGAUCCUAAGAAGUUUCCGGAAGAAUAUGGGAAUUCUCGUGAUAGUGGAAUUACUCUCUCUGGAUUUCCAGCUCUUAACAGGGCAGCCUCAUCACCUGCUGAAUUGAUUGCGAAUUAUUGCAACCAGCUAAAGAGAUCUUCACCUGAUGAGGUUUCUAGCCCAGCUAAACAGGCAAAAAUUGAAAGUGAUACAGCUGAUACAGGGUCUGAAGUAGAAUCAGGGGAUGAUAAUUUUGAUGUGGAAUACGAGAUUGAAACAGGAGACGAGGAGACCAGACCUCUCCAGGAUGAUAACAGUAAGUAUAGUAGUGGAGAGGAUUCUGAUAUCAACACCAGCUUUGUUGCCCACAAGGUUGAGGUGAAUGAUGGGGAUAUGGAUUGUUGGGCGGACAACGAGGAGAUGUAUAAGAAUGAUGAGAACGAGGAGGAGAAGGAGGACAAGAGCAAAGCUAAAUUCAAAUCAGAAAUUAAUAAGUGUGCAAGGUGUAUUGGACCUUCCAUGUUCAACCUAAGGUACUGCAGCACUUGCUGGUUAGAGCUGAAAACCUGGAAAGCUGACCGGCCAAAAAACAUGAAGUCCAACCGUGCGCGCAAUGUUGCUCGAUCCCAGCGUAUCAUGGAAAAAGAUGACACAGACAGUGCGUAUGUGGAGUCAGGCUGUAGUUCACAGACCGAUAGUACAUCAGUCGAUUCUGCAUGUAGUUCCCAGACAGAAUGUAUAACUGUUGAGUCUGGAUGUAAUUCCCAAGAGAUGGAGGUUGUAAGUAAGGUGAAGGAUGGGUUGGAGAAGACGUUUUCAAAAAACUUGUUGGAUUCCAGGGAAACCGGGAGUGUAGUCUUGGUGGAGGAAUGCAACCUUGCUACAGACCGAUUGAAAGCCCAGUUAAAGGAUGGAGCAGUAUCCAACCUAUGUCUGCUGUGCUAUGUGAGACCAAAGAAUGCUGGACUCAUUCAUGGACGGAUUUGUCACCAGAUUUGCUGUUACCCCUGUGCAAAGAUUCUAUGGAAGAAGCAGGCCGGGUGUCCACUGUGCAGGAGGAAAAUAGAAAAGUAUACAAAAGUAAUUCUGGGUUAGAUUCUCGGAUCAAAUAUAAAAAGAAGAAAAAGGAAAAUACGGAAUCAUCGAAGAUUAUCAGACACUGUAAUGGUGAAAAAUUAAAAUCUGAAAGUCGUAAAGACGUCUUCUACAGGUUUGAUCUGUGUGAUAAUAGUUUGAAAUUAAGACUAAAAAGUAUAUUUAACAACAGUGAAAAUUAUUCUGAUUGUGAGAAGCUUUUUAAUUUCAACUCAACAUAUGGUAGAGUUCAUAUUUUUCAGCAGAAUUUAGAGAUUCCUUUAAAUUAUCAAAACUGGAGUGAUAAGGCUUUUAAAGUUUUGGUAUUGUUCUAAAUCUAUUAUAAUUACUUAUUUCGGUAACUGUGUUGAUUCUAACAUCUGGAGGACUAAUAAAUACACAGAAAUAAAAUUAUUAAAUAAA
rnacentral:misc_RNA from 1 species